CCUACGGGAGGCAGCAGUGGGGAAUAUUGCACAAUGGGGGAAACCCUGAUGCAGCAACGCCGCGUGAGGGAAGAAGGUUUUCGGUUUGUAAACUUCUAUUAGCAGGGAAGAAAAUGACGGUAUCUGACUAAAAAGCCCCGGCUAACUACGUGCCAGCAGCCGCGGUAAUACGGAGGGGGCAAGCGUUAUCCGGAUUUACUGGGUGUAAAGAGAGCGUAGGCGGGUUAGCAAGUCAGAAGUGAAAGCCCGUGGCUCAACCACAGGACUGCAUUUGAAACUGUUGUUCUAGAGUACAGGAGAGGUAAGUGGAAUUCCUAGUGUAGCGGUGAAAUGCGUAGAUAUUAGGAGGAACACCAGUGGCGAAGGCGGCUUGCUGGACUGUAACUGACGCUGAUGCGCGAAAGCGUGGGGAGCAAACAGGAUUAGAUACCCUAGUAGUC
rnacentral:rRNA from 1 species